ACGAACGCUGGCGGCGUGCUUAACACCUGCAAGUCGAACGGUGAAGCGCCUUCCUUUUUGGUGGGUGUGGAUGAGUGGCGAACGGGUGAGUAACACGUGAGUAACCUGCCCCCUUCUUCUGGAUAACCGCAUGAAAGUGUGGCUAAUACGGGAUAUUCUGGGUCUGUCGCAUGAUGGGUCUGGGAAAGAUAUUGUUUCGGUGGGGGAUGGGCUCGCGGCCUAUCAGCUUGUUGGUGGGGUGAUGGCCUACCAAGGCGGUGACGGGUAGCCGGCCUGAGAGGGUGGACGGUCACACUGGGACUGAGACACGGCCCAGACUCCUACGGGAGGCAGCAGUGGGGAAUAUUGCACAAUGGGCGCAAGCCUGAUGCAGCGACGCCGCGUGAGGGAUGGAGGCCUUUGGGUUGUGAACCUCUUUCGCCAGUGAAGCAGGCCUGCCUCGUUUGUGGGUGGGUUGACGGUAGCUGGAUAAGAAGCGCCGGCUAACUACGUG
rnacentral:rRNA from 1 species